GGAUGUGAGGGCAAUCUUGCUGCGACAUCUGUCACCCCAUUGAUCUCCAUGCUUUUUUGGCUGCUCUGGCUGCCUAGACGGGUGUCCCUUUCCUCCCUCACUGUUCCAUGUGCGUUGGGUGGAAGAGGACUGCCUUUGCUGAACAGAGAAGGACCGGUCUUUGGUUGAGGGUAUAUGAGUAGCUGCUCUCCCCUGCUAGAACCUCCAAACAAGCUCUCAAGAAUCAACAUUUUCCAAGGCCGUUUGGAUGGGUUGUGUCUACUAAUGUUUCUUAUGAAAUGAAAAUUGAACUAUUGAAUAUUAUCUAUU
rnacentral:snRNA from 1 species